rnacentral:tRNA from 1 species
GUAACUAAGCUGUCAUAAGCCUAGCACUGAAGAUGCUAAGACGGAUGCCCUGCACCCGCGGACA